AUAUGCUCACACACUGCUGUUAGACAUGAACUUUAUUAUUGUAUCAACCUUGAUGGCUCUCUACUCAACGGGUGGACAUGGUCAAACCCUGACUGAAUCGGAGUCUGUGGUCAUUAAUCCUGGAGGAUCUCACAGACUGACCUGCACAGCCUCUGGGUUAACCAUCAGCGGCUACUGGAUGGCUUGGAUCAGACAGGCUCCUGGGAAAGGGCUGGAAUGGAUCGCUAGCAUGGUCGGCACUACUAUCUACCACUCUCAGGCUAUUCAGGGACGGUUCACAAUCUCUAGAGACAACAGCAAGAGCCAGGUGUAUCUGCAGAUGAACAGCCUGAAGACUGAGGACACUGCUGUGUAUUACUGUGCCCGAGACCCACAGUGACAGAAGAGUCUGGAGAGAUGAACAAAAACUCACAGUGAAAACAGGGGCACUGAACUGUGACUGUCCGUUCAAAAACACAGUUUUAGAGUCUAAUGCCUUGCUUGCCCCACUUUGGACAGCAGGUGGCGUCAGAGAUGUAGAACACGGGGACAUUCCCAUGAACUCUUACUCAUCAACACCACACAAUGAAACACUCAUUAAC